UUAUGUAAAUUUGAUGAAACCUGAUUUGAGGUUAGACCUGUGUAAAAUAAUUGGGCUAAAUAUUAUGCACAGGAAGGCAAUUGCUACAAACUAAAAACAAUUUCAGACUUAUUUACUAGAGGCCACCUCGGAAGUGCUCCUACAGUUACUUGUAUGAUUUUAAAUUGCAAUUUUUUUAAAUGUAGCAGCUCUGCAUGAACUCUUGGACUAUUUGCAAGCUUUAAACUUUGUCAUAAGACAAACCUACCUAAAAUGUGCAUUCUUUACAAUAUAUUUACAUGGUUACAUUUUUGUUAUUUUUUAAACCAUUCUGUGGAUAUUCAAACAAAAUAUAUUGCUCAAAAUAAACAUUUCAAUUUUGCUUCCCAUACAGAGGAAAGAAUAGAAUCACAGAAUGGCAGAGUUGGAAGGGAUAAUGAGGGUCAUCUAGUUCAACCCCCUGCAAUGCAAUAAUUUCAACCAGAUCAUACACGACACCUAUGCUUGAAAACCUGCAAGGAAGGAGAGUCCACCACCUCUCGUUGGAGCCUGUUCCACCGUCAAACUAAAAUUUUACUAUUCGCAUAUCCAGGAUGUGUUCUGGGUCUGGGUGUGUGGACUUCCUUAAUUCCGAAUAGAGGCCAUUGACUCACCUAUGGCCAUGACUCACCAUUGACUCACCUACGACUACAGGACAUAUUGUGCAGAGGCUGGGAAGCCAUCUUUCAGACAGAAGAAAUGCAUGGAUCCUUGCACCAUGGUUCAAGACUGGGAUGCUAGGAGCCAUGGCAUCUGCAAUAAAGAGCAGCUGCUUUAUCCUUUGGGCUAUGCCUGGUAUAGAGUGACACAUGGGCUAGCUGGCAAUGUUCAUCCUAG